AUUAUGGAGAGUUUGAUCCUGGCUCAGGAUGAACGCUGGCGGCGUGCCUAAUACAUGCAAGUCGAGCGAACAGACGAGGAGCUUGCUCCUCUGACGUUAGCGGCGGACGGGUGAGUAACACGUGGGUAACCUACCUAUAAGACUGGGAUAACUCCGGGAAACCGGGGCUAAUACCGGAUAACACAUGAAACCGCAUGGUUUCAUGAUGAAAGACGGUUUUGCUGUCACUUAUAGAUGGACCCGCGGCGUAUUAGCUAGUUGGUAAGGUAACGGCUUACCAAGGCAACGAUACGUAGCCGACCUGAGAGGGUGAUCGGCCACACUGGAACUGAGACACGGUCCAGACUCCUACGGGAGGCAGCAGUAGGGAAUCUUCCGCAAUGGGCGAAAGCCUGACGGAGCAACGCCGCGUGAGUGAUGAAGGUCUUCGGAUCGUAAAACUCUGUUAUUAGGGAAGAACAAGG
rnacentral:rRNA from 1 species